rnacentral:rRNA from 1 species
GAUGAACGCUGGCGGCGUGCCUAAUACAUGCAAGUCGAGCGAACGGACGAGAAGCUUGCUUCCCUGAUGUUAGCGGCGGACGGGUGAGUAACACGUGGAUAACCUACCUAUAAGACUGGGAUAACUUCGGGAAACCGGAGCUAAUACCGGAUAAUAUUUUGAACCGCAUGGUUCAAAAGUGAAAGACGGUCUUGCUGUCACUUAUAGAUGGAUCCGCGCUGCAUUAGCUAGUUGGUAAGGUAACGGCUUACCAAGGCAACGAUGCAUAGCCGACCUGAGAGGGUGAUCGGCCACACUGGAACUGAGACACGGUCCAGACUCCUACGGGAGGCAGCAGUAGGGAAUCUUCCGCAAUGGGCGAAAGCCUGACGGAGCAACGCCGCGUGAGUGAUGAAGGUCUUCGGAUCGUAAAACUCUGUUAUUAGGGAAGAACAUAUGUGUAAGUAACUGUGCACAUCUUGACGGUACCUAAUCAGAAAGCCACGGCUAACUAUGUG